UACGAAGGGGGCUAGCGUUGCUCGGAAUCACUGGGCGUAAAGGGUGCGUAGGCGGGUCUUUAAGUCAGGGGUGAAAUCCUGGAGCUCAACUCCAGAACUGCCUUUGAUACUGAAGGUCUUGAGUUCGGGAGAGGUGAGUGGAACUGCGAGUGUAGAGGUGAAAUUCGUAGAUAUUCUCAAGAACACCAGUGGCGAAGGCGGCUCACUGGCCCGAUACUGACGCUGAGGCACGAAAGCGUGGGGAGCAAACAGG
rnacentral:rRNA from 1 species